rnacentral:rRNA from 1 species
UAAGGAAUAUUGGUCAAUGGAGGCAACUCUGAACCAGCCAUGCCGCGUGCAGGAAGACGGCCCUCUGGGUUGUAAACUGCUUUCAUUCGGGGAUAAACCUAUCUACGUGUAGAUAGCUGAAUGUACCGAAGGAAUAAGGAUCGGCUAACUCCGUGCCAGCAGCCGCGGUAAUACGGAGGAUCCAAGCGUUAUCCGGAUUUAUUGGGUUUAAAGGGUGCGUAGGCGGCCUAUUAAGUCAGGGGUGAAAGACGGUAGCUCAACUAUCGCAGUGCCCUUGAUACUGAUGAGCUUGAAUGAACUAGAGGUAGACGGAAUGUGACAAGUAGCGGUGAAAUGCAUAGAUAUGUCACAGAACACCGAUUGCGAAGGCAGCUUACUAUGGUUUUAUUGACGCUGAGGCACGAAAGCGUGGGGAUCAAACA